AGCAAUAUGUUUGGCUAAUUUAUUUUCUCCACCAUUACAGCUUUAUGCCGAGCAGUGAGCCGUAUGAAGCAACGACAGACAAGGCUUUCUUGACCACCCACAGCACUGAACAACCUGUAUCGUUUUGCCCUGAGGCUACGCUGGAACCGGGAACCUGCUUUAAUCCUGCUGUCCUGCAAGCCAGAGAAGCAGCAAGCAGUGCUGAUGCCAACCCCCAGCUGGGUAACUUUGUCCUGUGCCCCUGUGGGUCCCUUACAUUCCCAGAUGAACGGCUGGCCAUGUGGCAAGCUCCUUGCACCACCAGAGGAGUCUCUGGCUCUAUGUGGACCCCAAGUAUAGAAGUUACUGUCACUCUGUGUUUGGCAAGCCUCAGUGCCCACCUGUUUCUGCACCCUGCAUGGAAGAAAGCCAAGCCUUGGGACAAAGCCAGGUCUUGGAGGAUUCAGCUGGCAACCCAUUAACCCAUGACACGUUCUGGGCAGCGUGGCUGCUCUUUGAAUUCUCAGCCAGUGGACGAAUGUGAUCCACCUGCAGAGAUGUUCAGUGUGGUCUGCACUUCCCUAGGAAACACCCCAUCCUUUCCUGGGUGUUCUUUUCUCCAUGCUUUUUUUUGGCAUGAAUGAGGGGUUUGGCAUGGAGGUGAAUACAGAAUGAGGUAGAGGGAUGAUGAAGGUCUGUUCUAAUGGUUGCAAAGUUUGGUUUUGUUACAGUUUGGUUACAGUUUGGUUAAGAAUUUUUCAAAGGAUAGAAGACAUGAAAGGUGCAUUAUGGACUGCAGGUUUUGACUAGAGCAGUCUGAAGCUGCACUGCAGAUGCUAAAAAUAUCAAGUCACUGGUUCUGUGGCAGUUAAGUAUUUCUACCCAUAGCACUGGUCAGACCAGAGUUGUUCAUUACAUGAUGAAGGUAAAUGAAGCUCCUGUACUCAGAAAGAGUAAAAUUCAGUUUUAUUGCCUGGCAAUGAAUAUUGGGUAACUUUUUCUCAGGCCUGGACGAUAGAGUAUCAGCUUAGUGCUGGUAAAAUACUGCUAUUUCUCAUCCCUGCAUCUCGGUGGUACUGCUGGGUGUAACUGCCAGAGCAUUCAGUACUCCAGAGUGCCACAGGUGACACACACUGGCAGAAUUAUCAGUGCUGAAGUCAAUGUUCUUACAGUAGAGGGAGGGCCUACCAGUGUUGUCAGUGUUUAAUGCUACCUGUGUCUCAGAUUGCUCAGGAAAGAAGAAGGAUGAAUGGAGGAGGUAGGAGCUGCUGAACCCUCUUGAUCCAUUGUCAGUCCCCACGUUUGGAUGGACACAAACUGCCAGGGCUGUUGUGUGACCGCAGGUGGUCUCUGGCCACAGUGAACCACAUUGUGGUCAGACGAUGGCCCUGCAAUGCAGCGUGACUUGUAAAGGCUCAAGUUUCCUACACACAGUAGUAAGUGUGGGGCUGAUGCUGUGUAGGCUGGAGGCUGCUUACUCGGUGGGGGUGAGCUGUUCAACUGCAGCUCUCCUGGGGAGUGCAUGCUGCUCUGUUCCUGUUUCCCAUCUCUUUUCCUUACUUAACCCAGCCUCAAGGCACCUGUUACACUCCUUCACCUCACGUUGCUCACGGAGCAGGAGCCCUGUUUUCCCUCCUUUCUCUUAGAGGACAUAAAGCAGAAUUGUGUAUGGGAGUGUUAGGACAUGAAGCAGCACAGCAGACCCUUGGUGCAGUUUAAAGCUGCAAAUCACUGUGCUGUCUUUAGGGUGUUUUCCCUAUGUGUUACUGCUGGGGUUUAAAUCUGUAGUGGAAAAGUGGUAAUCUUUACUGAAACUCGAGCCCUGGGUUACGCAAAGUGGAUGCCUCCAGUACCUGUUGUCAUAAAGCUAGCAAAUAAAGGUUUU
rnacentral:lncRNA from 14 species